GAGGAGGCCGCUUACGUGCGAAGCACGUAAUAAGGAUGCGGCCGACGACAUGCCGCCGAACGAAUGUGAGGGGGCAAUACAUAU
rnacentral:sRNA from 1 species